GGUGGCAUUGCUCAGUGGUACAGCACGUGCUUAGCAUGCAUGAGGUCCUGGGUUCAAUUCCCAGUACCUCUA
rnacentral:tRNA from 1 species